CUGGAAGGUGCUGACAUCUUUGUUGAAGUUCGAACAUCGAGAAUUGAAUGGAUAUCUUCUACUCGUAGACGAAGUGCCAAUGAUCGCACGCCGAGGUGUCGUUAGGACGACAGCGGUGGCAGCGGUUGACCGAAUCGUCGGUAUUUUGUUUACUAACAUGGAUACAAUGCGACGGGCUCUAGCCGCGAUGGAGCGGACAGUGGACGUAGAAGAGAUAAUUGCAAAGACCGAAACGAAGAACUAGGCCGAAUUGCUCUUGUGCCAGCGUAUCGAUACUGAUAUUUUUCUUGCUCUCCCUAAUGCUAAAGUUAGCGCAACUUGAAAGUCUUGUUAAAAAUUUGGCUGUCGUAAGGGCUCUGUGAGUUCACAGAAAAAAGUAAGAGAGAAGAAAGGUCUAUUGGAGAAGAAUCCAGAUUGAUAACCGAUAGAAAGAAGCAUGGCAUAUCGUACUUCAUAUCGGAACGACACUCGGCUGGAGACUGUCAUGCCGUCGGCCCCCUCCAGAAUGACCCCCGUGUUGCAGAUCCGGGUUGAUUUGUUAUAGAUUACGUGCAAAAAAGUAGUCAGACAGCAGAAGCGGUAAAGAGCGACAGAAAAUAUGGAACUUCGCUAUGAGGCGAAGACUCAUUACGAAAAAACGUCAUCAAGCAGGUAACAAUCAAUCACAAUAACGACAAUACAAUGGUGACCUCAUUAACGGCGACGACGAAUAACCGAGGAUGCCUGGUAGGCCGAAAAAAUGGUCCGCAGAGUAAUCACAAGUGCUGCGCCUGCAGCAUAAAUAGCAGAUUACUGCAUCAACAGCCCCCGAUAGGUGAAGAAAGUAUCGCUGCUCAAAGUUCUAUGGCUACUGGAUACGCUUUGAGGAUAGCGUUUGUUGCAGUAGGCGAUUGAUUACAAUCCCUAUGAACACUGUAGAACCAAUAAAAGUUUUAUUAUUUUUAUAACAAAAGUGAUUUCGCCAUUUAUGAUGGAUGGCCCUUUAUCGGCUAAGCAUCAAACGGUCUGUGAGGUCGAUGUAAAAAAAGAGCAAAUGUUCUAUAAUCACUAGAUUAUAUAAUAUGCUGGCCGAAAAAAAACGUCGAUUUUUGCUCGUGUAUUAGUAGAAUUUUUAACUCAGUUGACUUUCGAAACUUCUAACGAAGAUCGUUACGUUUGAUCAAGGAAUUUUUGUUCCCAUUUUAAUAGAAGACACAGAAGCGGAGCUACACUGCAUUGGUAUUUGGCGAAAGUACUUGUCGUAUUGCAAAACCAAGAAAAUAUACCUAUAUGUAAAUAUUGUAAUAAAGACGAGUCAGAGAUUGUAUUUUCUAAGCUGUUGGCGCAUCCUUUAGUAAAAACAUUUUAAGGAAACGCUAUUCUACUGCAGGGUUAAAAACAGCUUUCAAGGAGCUUUACGAUGCCUUUGUGUUUCCCACAACAUCAGUUCUCGUCUGCAUUAUACAUGAAUCACAGCACGCCGUAAAAUAGUUUGUCGUUAAGAGAUUAUUUGUGUACGCAAGGUUUUAAUGUUUCGAACUAUACGUCCUGUAGAGCACGAAACGAUGUGUAUCUCGGCUUGGUGUCUCGAGCCGAGACCAUCUAGAUCCUUCUAGAUGUCGUAAGCAAACUCGUUGCUAGGAUACCAUUUGUAGUCAUUACAGUUCUACUGUGAGAAUUAUAUCGAUGCCAAAAAGGAACGUAAAAGUAAUUGUACAUACUGCACGAUGAAAGACAGAAAUUUGCAUGAAAUGUUAGCGGGUGCGGUGGGACAUAGAAAUCGCUUACUACUAGUUGUUCACGACUUCGUUCCUUGUUCGGUUACCGGACAGGUGGGAAGAAAUAGAUUUUCUCUUUGAGUUCAUCUCGACCUGACACAGUUCUGUAGGGAAAGUGCUCUUGUUGUGUUAAAAGUAGCAAGGGCAAGUUGGAUAGUCUAGGUUCAAGAUCAGGAAUGGGCACGCGACUUGUCUCGCGCUUUUAAGAGCCAGCCAUCUGACACAGUGCCGAUGGGCAAUAUCAGGCAUAAAACCCAAGGUAUAUACUGAAGUUGUAGUUCUUCGAUUUUCAGUCGGUGAUCGUUUAGCGACCACGGUUCAGGCAUUGGCAUCAUCAGAGAGUCUAGAAUGGAUCCUGGAAAACAAUGAGAUGGCGUUGUGGAUAUUUGCUCCUCUGACUAUUUGGCUUAUUUUGCGCCUGUAUUAAAUGGAUGUAAACAUUACGCAUCCUGAGACAGAUAUCUACGUGCGCUCAGUAUAUCUACGUGUCCGUAACCAUGCAGAGUCCACUACAAAAUAGGCAUAUUCAAGUGAAAUACGGGUUACCACACCCGUAGUAACCGUUGACCAACGGCAGAGAAAGGGUCGGAACAUGUCCUUCACGCUAGACGAAUGUUCCAUAGCGGAAUGGAAUAGGGUACGGCGAAAGGCGCAAAUCAAGAUAAACAAUAAUGCGAAAAUCUACGAUGCCGAUAGGCAGCUCCAGACAACAACGUGCAAAAGAACUGCGUCAAUAUUACGAGACGAUGCAGAGUCAGAAUAUCGACCUGUUACAUCGGCCCGAUUCUAUUGGAAAAAAAAAACACUCAAUUAAUUAUUGUCGUCAAAUGAUCAUAGGAGAAAUACUUAUAAGUGUUUCUUUUUUAUUUUCCAUUAGCAAGCUUGUGAUUGGUUACUGUUUAAGGAAAUUUCGUUUUUUGUCUGGUUUAGCUAUGUUUUUUUUCUAGGUUAUGCUGAAGCGGCAACGAUCUGUGGGAGUAAUGCAGAACAAAAACUCUGAAAAGCAAAGGAAGGAGGUUUUUUUAAACGAGGAGUAUUUUUAGCUGCAGCAAUUGAAAAUGCAGACUUUCUUUUUCGAAAUGCUAAUAUUCAUUGUAAUAAACUAUGCAGAGAUGAUGAUAUUUAUCGCUUCGUUGCCAACCGUGACUUGGCAACUUGAAGUUAAACCUAUAGUUGGUCGUUCGCAUUAAUUAUCGGACAACUAGAAUGUACUUCACGAAGAAGUUUACUUAUAUGAUUAUUUGUAAGUGUAGUACUGAGAAGAAACACGCUACGGUGUUCAUAAACGAUCUAAACGUUAUUGACAGGAAAUCGAUGCCUGUGUAGGCAUGCUUGAUUUACAGAUGACUUGUGUGUUGAGUUUCAAAAUGAUACAGAAUAAUUUCAUACAAAUGGCGAAAAGCUACACGGUUAUAACUGCCAAGUUAAUGUGCUUCUUUUCAAUUUACAAGACAAGACUCACGCAAAACGAACCAACGUGAAGACGUUGCGCGGGUGUCAUUAUGUUGUAGCCCAUAUCAACUAUAUGACAACGAGGGCUCUACUGAUACAUUUGUUUCUGUGCGGUAUUGAAAUAAAGAAACCCACAACAAACCUACACAAACACGUUACAAGUCCCUGCUUGCAAUUCCAACAUAAAAUAAGCGUGCCGAAUUAGACAGUGCGACGUUUGUCUGUCCCGACCACCUUCUUCGAAAAGCUAAACAAUCAUGCAAGAAAAACAGGUUAAAUAGGUAACUAUACAAUAGGCACACCAAAAUAUGUUUUCUGACUGUUUUGGUGACACUGACAAUUUAGCAUUUACGAUAAGCAUUAAGGCAGCUACUUAACAACAACAACACGGAGAAUAACCCCUUCGUUAUUGAAAAUGGGUUUCAACAUACAAGUAUGCGCUUCGCCAACCUUCAUCAAUGGUUAGUUUUAUGUCUGGAUUGAAAAACGACCAAUAAUAAAUUCUGCCGUAAAUUUUUCGAAGCGUGGCACACGGAAACCCAUCGACGUGCGUCCACGUCUGCAAAAACAGGCUACAUAAAAAAUAACAGCUAUUAAAUUCAUAUUUUGUGGAUAUAACAACCCAAGGACGAGAAUGAAAAGCGAUUAUGAAAGUGUUCCCGACUUAACAAUUUUACAAAGGCGUGUAUGUCUAUAUGGAGUUGAUGUAGGUAGGAUUUUUUUUUUUUUGUGUAAAUCCUGAUCUUCUUGGCAAUGGCUGCUUGGCAUUAUUCUUAAAGAUCUGACGUGAGGCGCCAAGUUUUUACAUGCAAUUGCUAGUCCUUGGAAUUAUAUUUGUUGUGUUUCUUAGUAUCCUUUUUUUUAUGUUCUCGUACAUCAUCGACUGAAGACACGCAUAUUGAAACUUGAACUAAUAGUCCACAGUUUACCGUUCACCUGAUCUGCCUCUUGUGAAUCUAACAAUAUUACGCACAAUCAUCAGCCGUGCCAUAUCAAACAUUAUGUACAUAGUGUAGUUUUACAUUGAAGCUAAAGCGAUAAGGAUUGAAAAAUCGUCGUCCUUUGAUUAUACUGGGCAGGUCAUCUUUUAGAAUAGUCUAUCAGGGCCUGAUUGGUGGGGUUACAUUACCGGGCAUUAAACGUGUGGUGGUGAACCCGCUUUUGCGGGAGUUUGAAAGUUCUCUGCAUACAUAGUGUGAAUUACUUUGAAUCCAUUGACGCCUCCGUUCUGUGACAGAAUGAUUCCUGGAUACAGCUUCAAAAUGACGUCAAGCAUAGUAUGGAUAUACUCAUACGCUGUAUUAAUCGACUAGUAAUAGAACGAACAUCUGAACGUCUGUUAUCUAGAAUCAUUGAAAAUUCUAGUUCACACACUUUCACUAAUAAAUUGUCAUCAAUUCAAUAAUGAGAAAUUUAUUCGGGCAGCGAAAAAAGAUGGACCACUAAAAA
rnacentral:lncRNA from 1 species